rnacentral:misc_RNA from 1 species
CAGAGUUGCAAAACUCCCAAACCAUUGUGAACGUUACCUUUACCGUUGCUUCGGCGGGCGGCCCGGGUCCUGCCCCGGCGCCCCUCGGCCCUCGCGGGCGCCCGCCGGAGGUAAACCAAACUAUUGCAUUGUAUGGCCUCUCUGAGUCUUCUGUACUGAAUAAGUCA